AAAAAAAAAAAAAAAAAAAAAAAAAAAGUGUACCGCGCAUGCGCAGUGACCAGAGGCGUACGUUGGGUUUUACUGGUGCCAAAAAAGGGUCUAUUGCAGUGUAAGUUUAUGCUAAACAAACAACUGUGGCUUAUUUCUUUCUGAAAUUGAAUUAUUUGUGCAGAAAUACAUUUUUAGUAUUGCGGCAUUGCACUUGCUCUGAGAACAAUGAGGUUUAUGACAAGCCUGGACGAGAGAGGUUUUACAGAGGAAAGUAUCAAGUUCAAGAUAUGAACAGUGAUUCAGAGGAAGACGUUCUGGUGGAUGACUGGAUGACAUCCAAACAAGAUCUGUUGGACACAUCAGAUGAAGAGCUGAAUGAUGACCUUUUGUGUAGCGAUGAUGAGAACGAAACUAUAAGAUGUCACAAUGAAAGCAUUUCUAAACAAAAACUGCAGGCGAUUGCAAAGCCUUACCUCGUUUGCAAAACUCCACACCUUGCUGAAGACCAAGGCAGAUGUCCUAAAGAAGAGGUGGAAGUGGACCCUGGUGAAGUUUUAGACAUCGAAAUCAAUGCCCCUUCUGGAGAUGAAUUUCACCAGGAAGUUGCUGACGACAGUGACCAUCAGCAGGCCAAUGUAAAGAUGGAUGUUAAGGAUGACAUUAAGGUGGUGUCCAGUUUGCAGGAGUCAAGAGAGGGUGGAUCUGAGUUGCGAGAGGGUCUCUCUCCUCAACCCUUUGGGCCUCAUCUCACACACUCCUGCGGGGGACAGCCUGCCCCAGAGGAGACCCUCACUGGACCCUGCUGCAGUCCUGAGCCAGUGUUCCCAGGACAGCAUAUGUUUGAUCCACAACACUCUGCUUCAGUCUUGGACACUAAUCCGCCCCUUGCUGGACCUACUCCCAUGGGCUCCAUUCAGCCUCCAGGAAAUGAGAGUGACCCCUGCAGACCCAGUCUAGCUUUGCAAGGGCCCACCGAUCUGUCAAGGCCUGGGACUCCCCACCGUGGGCAAAAGCCCUUUCAGAAACAUCCAUCAGCUCAGUCUGGCUGCUCCUUUACUGCUACCUCUGGACCACAGGCACAGAAACCUGCUGUGCUGGUAAGAGCUGUUGCCAGGAUGGUGCAGAGUGCCAAGCCAAUGGCUGUUGCCAGGGGGAUGCCCAUUGCUGCAAGGCAGCCAAAAGGUGCCAAGUCUAAGAUAUCUGCCAAAACUCCACCAGCACCAGGGUUGCUGGGAAGAAAUGUGGGUCAGAAGGUCAAGGUGCAGCCCCAAACUCCUCCAGCUACUCAAAAACAUCCCGCAAAGCCACUAAACAUGACAAACAACAAAGAGUGUGAGGAGGAGGAGUUCUACAUGGAGAGGCUGCAGGAGCAGAUGCGACUGAGGGAGCAGGUUAUCAAACAGAAGGAACGGAUGAGAUCUAGACGGGCUGUAAACAAGAAGCAUCUGCGGCAGGAGCACUUCCAAACUGAUAGUUCCACCGUACACUGGAACAACAACCAAAAUCAACAGAAACAGCCGUGCAUCUUGGGUUCCUGCCCUCGAAAGGUUACGCACCAGCAGCACUUCCAUAAUCCCCCUCACUGUCUUGUCUUGGAGCGCCAUCCAGAAUAUCAGCCCUUGCCUUCACUGCAGCACCAGUAUCAGGUUUUAGUACCCCCACUUCAGCCUCCAUGGCAACAAGCUCCACGAGGGAAUCCAUCAGAGCUGCAGCAUAAUCAGUCUCAUCAGUGGGGCGCAGACAGGGUGGUGUUACAGGGAAUGGAGCAAGUCCGAGAUCAGAUGAACCAACAGUACAGUACUGAAGAGGCCCAUGCAGCAGGUCCGCAGGAAGUCUGGCGAGGACGCAAGAGGAUGUGUGAGCAGAGAACUUCUGACGGGCCUGUUCCCACCAAAAUUAGAGUGGUAAAACACAUCAGCCCAGUUAGUGCGAGUUGUGAUCUCACACCACAGACGAGUGAAGAGACUAAUGCAGCGACUGAAACGAAGCCCAGAAUUGUCACCUUCAGAAUGCCUGAUUCAUCUCCACCUUCAUUUCAGCAACACAGUCUCAAGUCAAACUGUCCCAAACAGGGAAGGGGAUCUGGUCCAAACCAGCCCCAGGAUGAGUCAAUAGAGUCAGAAAACAUUGCAGCAUCUCGUCCGUAUUGA
ensembl:lncRNA